ACUGAACGCUGGCGGUAUGCUUAACACAUGCAAGUCGAACAAUGAGAAAGAGCUUGCUCUUUCGAUUAGUGGCGGACGGGUGCGUAACGCGUAGGAAUCUACCUAUUAGUGGGGGACAACUUAGGGAAACUUAAGCUAAUACCGCAUACGCCCUACGGGGGAAAGAAGGGGAUCGCAAGACCUUUUGCUAAUAGAUGAGCCUGCGUAGGAUUAGCUAGUUGGUGGGGUAAAAGCUCACCAAGGCGACGAUCCUUAACUGGUUUGAGAGAAUGAUCAGUCACACUGGAACUGAGACACGGUCCAGACUCCUACGGGAGGCAGCAGUGGGGAAUAUUGGACAAUGGGCGAAAGCCUGAUCCAGCAAUACCGCGUGUGUGAAGAAGGCCUUAGGGUUGUAAAGCACUUUCAAUUGGAAGGAAAACCUCGAAGCUAAUACCUUCGAGUUUGACAUUACCUUUAGAAGAAGCACCGGCUAACUCCGUGCCAGCCGCCGCAGUAA
rnacentral:rRNA from 1 species